GGUACACACAAGCACAAUCCAACUGACCGUCACGAAUCAUAUCAAAGAAGGCGAUCGAUGGCCCAACACCGUGUGCAGAGGCACAACCGAUGUAGUCGUGUAGGCCGAUGUGCUGCUGCGCAGGACCGGAAGUUUCGAUGAUGGGAUCUUCAAAGACCGAGAUCAGGGCAGUUCUCAUGGACGAAGAGGGAGUGAGGCUGGGAUUUUCAAUCGCUUUGCACAUGAGGAAGUUCAAGUCAGACAUGUCUGAGAAAUGCUUGUUGCUGUCUUUGGCAUUUGAGAAGGAAAAAUAGCAUCGCUUUGCCACUUCCCAUAGUGUAUCUUCAGCUGAUAUGUCAUGUGUGUUGAGGAUGGCAGAGUGAUAGAAUCCUAAAUGGUGGCUUGUGAGGGGAGGAUCAAGGAGGGAACGACAAUCAUUGAGAGUAACAACAGCAUAUUUCUCCCUCUGGUGAGGAGGAAGGUCCUUAGAACAACGAGUAGCAAUCAAUCCAGCAGCUGCCAAAGCUCCACAGAGCUUAAUGCCUCUCGAUUUGCAGCCAGCGAGAAGUUUCUGAGUCUCAUCGGAGUUCAUCUUCAACCUAAUCAUCUGAGAAAAUCUUUCAGAAUUCGCGUCUUUGAAUUCCAAAUUCGCUAAUCGGAACGAAUUCAAGGAGUAACCAAGCAUAUCUAAUCCACGCGCCCACAGAGAUUUAUUCGCUUUACCGUUAGGGAUUAGAUUUUCAAUCCCUAAUCCGAUCUCACCAUUAUCCCCAAUUUCAAAUCCUCCGCCCUCUAUUUCCCCUCCGGCCGCCACAAGCACUAGCAGUUCUCUCAACAGUGCCGCCGCCGCGGCACGAUCGCAUGUCGCCGUGUGGAGGCGGAGGAAUACCGCCCAUUGGCUGUCGCAUACGGUGUAGACGGUAGCGAACAUCACGUCGGUGUCGGAGUACGACGGAUGGUUUGGAUCGAACCACGUGGCGCGGUUGAUCUCCGUUUCGUGGAUCUUGUGGAAAUCGGAGACGGAAGGAUCCUUGGCGUCGGGAUGAGAGGCGAUAGCGCUUGCGGUGGCGGCGAGGUCGAGGAUCUGGAGGUUAAGCGGCGGAGAAGGAGGAAUGAGGAAGGAGAAAUCUCGUCGGGAAGGAUCGUGGUGGAUUUUGGAGCGGAGGAUUGGGUGGAGGUUUUGGAGAGUGUGGAGGGAGGAUUGGAGAUGGGGAAUAUCGGGAGGUUUUGAGAGGAGUAGGCCGAGGACAGUGGUGCCGGUGCCGCCGGGGACGGCGCGGCACCAGCUGUGCUCGGUGCCACCGACGGGACGGGACUCGGACUCGCCGGCGGGAGGAGGAGGAGGAGGAGAUUGAUCAGACAUUUCGGAGGCGGGAACGG
rnacentral:misc_RNA from 1 species